GAUGAACGCUGGCGGCGUGCCUAAUACAUGCAAGUCGAGCGAACAGAUGAGGAGCUUGCUCCUCUGACGUUAGCGGCGGACGGGUGAGUAACACGUGGAUAACCUACCUAUAAGACUGGGAUAACUUCGGGAAACCGGAGCUAAUACCGGAUAAUAUAUUGAACCGCAUGGUUCAAUAGUGAAAGACGGUUUUGCUGUCACUUAUAGAUGGAUCCGCGCCGCAUUAGCUAGUUGGUAAGGUAACGGCUUACCAAGGCGACGAUGCGUAGCCGACCUGAGAGGGUGAUCGGCCACACUGGAACUGAGACACGGUCCAGACUCCUACGGGAGGCAGCAGUAGGGAAUCUUCCGCAAUGGGCGAAAGCCUGACGGAGCAACGCCGCGUGAGUGAUGAAGGUCUUCGGAUCGUAAAACUCUGUUAUUAGGGAAGAACAAAUGUAUAAGUAACUAUGCACGUCUUGACGGUACCUAAUCAGAAAGCCACGGCUAACUACGUG
rnacentral:rRNA from 1 species